rnacentral:rRNA from 1 species
AUGUUAACAUAUCUUGAAACAUUUUUAGGAGAAUCUGUAAAAGUUCUGUGGGAACAAUGGGUAGAGUCAUACCCUAGUCAAUAUGAAGAAUUAAAAAGGGCAGGAAGUAACCCUAAUAACUUUGCGAAUGUUAUCUCAAAUAUGAUCAUAGCAGAAGAUCCAGAAUUAGGACAUACCUCAUUCAAAAAUGAGAGGUUAAGAGAAAUAGAAAAAUUAACAUUAACUAGCUGGAAAGGUAUAAAAGAAUUCUCCCAGCAUUAUUUGUAUAAUGCUACUACUGCUAAACAAGGUUUUAAUGUAGGUGUAGUGAAAGAUAUUUUAAUAAGUUGCCCGAUCCUCUAG